GCCAGACUUAAGGUUCGGCUCUGUAUGCAGUAAAGAGACUUCUGGUCUCCAAUUGGAGUCGUGGGUUCGAACCCCACUUCUGACAUGUCUUUACCGUUUUAUAAUCCCCUUUGGACACUAAAUUAUUUUGACUCGCUAACUUUUUCAAGGUGGCCGAACACGUUUGUCUUUCCUUUAUUUGUGUGUCAGGAUGGCCGAGUGGUCUAAGGCGCCAGACUUAAGGUUCGGCUCUGUAUGCAGUAAAGAGACUUCUGGUCUCCAAUUGGAGUCGUGGGUUCGAACCCCACUUCUGACAUGUCUUUACCGUUUUAUAAUCCACUUUGGACCCUAAAUUAUUUUGACUCGCUAACUUUUUCAAGGUGGCAGAAAACGUUUGUCUUUGCUUUAUUUGUGUGUCAGGAUGGCCGAGUGGUCUAAGGCGCCAGACUCAAGGUUCGGCUCUGUAUGCAGUAAAGAGACUUCUGGUCUCCAAUUGGAGUCGUGGGUUCGAACCCCACUUCUGACAUGUCUUUACCGUUUUAUAAUCCACUUUGGACC
ensembl:lncRNA